GACGAACGCUGGCGGCGUGCAUAACACAUGCAAGUCAAGGGGGUCGAGUAGCAAUACUGGCAACCGGCGAACGGGUGCGUAACACGUAAGCGACCUACCUCGAUGUGGGGCGAUAGCCGGCCUAACGGCCGGGUAAUUCCGCAUAAGAUCCCGAUGAGGCAUCUCAUUGGGAUGAAACCAGUAAUGGGCGUCGAGAGGGGCGUUGCGGCCUAUCAGCUAGUUGGUGAGGUAACGGCUCACCAAGGCUACGACGGGUAGGCUGGUCUGAGAGGAUGGCCAGCCACAUUGGGACUGAGAUACGGCCCAGACUCCUACGGGAGGCAGCAGUGGGGAAGUCUUGCGCAAUGGCCUAACGCUGACGCAGCGACGCCGCGUGAGGGAUGAAGCUUUUCGGAGUGUAAACCUCUGUUG
rnacentral:rRNA from 1 species